rnacentral:rRNA from 1 species
CACGUAGGGUGCGAGCGUUGUCCGGAAUUAUUGGGCGUAAAGAGCUCGUAGGCGGUGUGUCACGUCGGCCGUGAAAACCUGCAGCUUAACUGUGGGCGUGCGGUCGAUACGGGCAUCACUGGAGUUCGGCAGGGGAGACUGGAAUUCCUGGUGUAGCGGUGAAAUGCGCAGAUAUCAGGAAGAACACCAAUGGCGAAGGCAGCUCUCUGGGACGGUACUGACGCUGAGGGCGAAGACGUGGGGGAGCGAACAGG